rnacentral:tRNA from 1 species
GAGGAAAAUCCCUCNACUUUCAAAAUCGUGAG